GUGCUCGCUUCGGCAGCACAUAUACUAAAAUGGAAACGAUACAGAUCAGCAUGGCCCCUGCGCAAGGAUGACACGCAAAUUUGUGAAGCGUUCCAUAUUUUA